GGUUUAGGGUUUAGUGAUUAAGAUUUAGGGUUUAGUAUUUGGAAGGUGGGGGUUGAGGUUUGGGUUUAGUGACCGUAUUAUGUAUGUUCCAUUUGACGAUUAAUAAAGAAUGUUCUUUUUUGCUCACCAAUUUUUACUAUACUAUGUAUUUUGCUCCAUUCUAUUUGGUUUUAGAGUCUAUACUUGGGUUUAGGGUUUAGUAUUUAGAAGGUGAGAGUUUAGGUUUGGGUUCAGUGAUAGCAUUUUUGGGUUUAGUAUUCAAAAGUUAGGUCUGAGUUUAGCAUUGAGGAGUUGUGUGUUGGAUUGGAGUCCUAUACUAUUCAAAAAUUAAGUUUGGAUUUAGUUUAAUAUUACAUAAUAUUAUAUACUAUUUUCA
rnacentral:lncRNA from 1 species